rnacentral:ncRNA from 1 species
GCGAAAAAAAUCAUACUUUCUCGUAUAACCCCGUAAUCGGCCAAUGCCGACAGGGCGGGGGUUUCUACAGGGAGCCUUUACUUCCUAACUACGAUGACAAGGAAUUCAGAA